UAGGGAAUAUUGCACAAUGGAGGAAACUCUGAUGCAGCGACGCCGCGUGAGUGACGAAGGCCUUCGGGUUGUAAAGCUCUGUUCUCAGGGAAAAAGAAAGUGAUUGUACCUGAGAAGAAAGGACCGGCUAACUUCGUGCCAGCAGCCGCGGUAAGACGAGGGGUCCAAGCGUUGUUCGGAAUCAUUGGGCGUAAAGCGGGUGUAGGUGGCUCUAUAAGUCAGAAGUGAAAGCCCUGAGCUUAACUCAGGAAGUGCUUUUGAUACUGCAGAGCUUGAAUGUGGGAGAGGGUAGUGGAAUUCCAGGUGUAGUGGUGAAAUACGUAGAUAUCUGGAGGAACACCGGUGGCGAAGGCGGCUACCUGGCCCAACAUUGACACUGAGACCCGAAAGCGUGGGGAUCAAACA
rnacentral:rRNA from 1 species